CUCACCAUUCGUGUUUGGUCAUUGUAGUUUGAUAACAUUUUCACUUUGGUCCAUAAAUUUUUAAUUUGAACAGUUAGGAUCUUAUAGUUUUAAUUUAGUAUCAAUGUAGCCCCCUCCGUCAACACAAGUCAAUAUUUUGGACAAAAAUUGAGCACAUAGGGAGGUUAGGGGCGACCACCAUCUCAAAUAGAGGUAUUAGCUAUGAAUAUAUUCAAAUUAUAUAGAUUCACCAUCCCAAUAUUAAAAUUAUUAUUCUAUUUUAAGUAUAAUCGCUUCCUUAAAAUAAAAAUCUCACGUCCAUCCUUAGUUAAUAUCGCCCUUUUUAGAGGGUAUUUCAUUUAUUGGUCCUUGUAAUUUGACUAAAAUUCGACUUUGAUUUCUAAGAAUAGCCACGUGAGUUUAUAAGUACCUCAUAUGUAUUCAAAUUAUUAACAUGUAUUAACGAAAAAUUAUAUUUGAACAAAAUUAAAACUGUAGAAUCUUAAUUAUUUAAAUUAAAAUUAUAGAACAUAGACGAGUUAUUUGUUUUUUAUUUUAUCUUAAACGAGAGCAAGGCCGCCUCAUUGUCGGAUGAAGAGUACUAUAGCUGGUCUGUCUUGUCAAAUUUCUCCUUUUCAACACGUUGGAACGGCGACUUUAACGGCACUCGAGAAUAAUUUUCAACAUACAUCAAGAACCUCGAGAAAAGUUUCUCAACACGAGGGUCAUUUAAACUACAGGAUAAUUUUCAACACGUUCAAGAAUCUGCUUUAGUGAAAGGGCCACGUGGAGAUAGUUUUUUUUAUUUAGGUUUUUGUUUUUGAAGAAUUUUUUUAAACGUUGGAUCAAAAUUUUUAUAGUUUUUAAGUUUCUCUUGAGAAGAAGAAUUUGAAAUUCAAAAAAUCUUCAUCUAAUUUGAAAACAACGUUCUUCACGAAAGACAAAAAAAAAUAUUUUUACUAGACAAAAUAGCAAUUUAUUUUUCUUUAUUGUCUUUUUUUUUUCAAAUUUGGGCAAAAUUUUAAAAUUUUUCACAUUCAUCUCGUCAAGAAUAAUAUAAAAACUAUCUUGAUCAAUCGGUGAAUUUUUUUUACUAAAAUCAAAACCAAAAUAGGUAAAAAAAACAUAAGAAAAGUUAGCCAAAACUGGGUCUAAUUUUAUUUGAUUUAGUUUUCAAAAUCAGUUUUGCAGCAUAAUUUUUUUAAUUAAUUAAAAAAAUAUUAUAUAUAUAUUCUUUAUUUUUUAAUGGAAAUGAUUUUUCAGUCUCUAACAGAAUGUACAUUCCCCAAAUAAAAAUUCCUCUAUCAGCCUGAUAAAGCCAAUACUAUAAGUUCCAUUAGAUGCAACCUUGCCAUAAAUUGGAGGGGCACAAAAGCUGAUAAAAUAAUUUAAUUAAGUACCAAGUAACAGUAAUAACUCUUUAAAAACGCUCACUUUUUUUUUUGGAAACAUAUAGGCUAUAACACCUAUACCUUUUAAUUAUAUUUAAUUACAUAUUUAUUUUAUAAUUUUAGUUAUCGGGUAUUGAUUUUGAGUUAAUUUAAACCUAAGUGUAGAAGUUGAAAAGUUUGGACCAAUUUAAAAAUUUAUUUAUUUAUUUAUUUUAACCGUGUUUUGCAUAAGCUUGCGAUGUGAAUUUCGAGAGUUCUAGAUUUUUUCUCGUGAUGCCAAAUAUACCAAUGUGAAGAUCUCGAUGAGAGGAGUGAACGCUAAUAUUUUGUUGGAAUCAUGAUGUGUAUCACUUUCAUAUAUGUUGGCUAAUUGCAUGGUACAACCCAUCAAUAGUUUGAUACUUUGAUGAACAACCAAAUAAGCUCGAUGGACUUGGUGAGGUGGGUGAGGCUGCUCAAUAAUGGUGUAUCAAUGAAGGACUGGGUAUGAAUUCCUGCACAAUUUGUUAAUUUGUUGAGCUCUAUAAAUUUGUCGUUAAAUCACUAUUGUUUUGAAUAUUACUCUUGUCGUAUUGUAUAUCUUCACACUUAAUUAUUUUUCAGAAUUAAAAGGGAGAGAAGAUCGAAUCGUACCAAAUCUAAUUAACAGGUUUAUACUUUAUAGGCAGGGAGAUAGAUCUAUUUAUUUAUCUUUAUUUUGAAAACAUCUACAUUUUUGGAAUAAAAUAACGCUGGAAUUCGCAAUGUUAGUAUUGUUCUUGUUACUACUCACGGGCCCGUUUGGCUAAAGGAUAUUGAGGGGGGAUAAUUUAAUUUUUAUAAUUUUGCUUGAUGUAUCCUUUUGUAUUAUCUACUUUUAACUUUUUUUUUAUCCUUUUCUACAUGUGUUGAUAAUUCAUACAAUAUAUAGAGAUCCACAAAAUAUCAACUCCUUACUCUCUCUCCCACUAUCUCUUUUAUUUUCAUAUAUAUAUACUAUCUCUCACCUCCUUCUACAUUUUCUUUCUCUUUCCUCAUCUUUUUGUUCUUCCCCCACCCCCUUAUCCCCUGGAUAACUUUUAGUUAGGGGUCUAUGCCACCCAAAAUUAUCCACCUCAUCCACCUACUUCGUCAUACAUUAUCGAGGCUCAAUUAUCCGCCCCAUAGCCGGUAUCCAAACGACGGGGGCAAAAUUAUCCGUGGGGAAAAAAAUUAUCCCCCGCCUAAUCGGUAGCCAAACGGCCCCAAAGUGUAAAAUUCGGGUCGUUACUACGUAAGCACUCACUUCAAAUCAUCAUCACUUAAAUUGUUGAUUUGGAACAUAGUUGUUGACCGGUAGUAAAUAUAUCCAGAUAGUUUCAAUGGAUGACAUAGGUGAUGCUAUGACUUGUACACCUCACGACAACUCUCUCUUACUUUCUAACAAUCAUGCCGUCAAGCAUUACGUGUUAUGUUAGAAAUAGCAAUUGCUCGCGUCUAGUGGCGGACGCAUGAUUUCUAUUUAGGAGGAGCCGAAUUAUACAUUUUUAAUGAAUCUUUCAGUAAAAACGUUUAGGGGGAACCAAUUAUGUAUAUUCAAUAGCAAAAUAUUAAAAAGCAACAGAAAAAAUAUUAAAAAAAAUUAAAUUUUUUUUUUGAAUUUUUCAAAUGUUUGGGGGGCCGUGGCCCCCGCCCGCCCCCGGGACCGCCACUGCUCAUGUCAACAAACAAGUAUUACGUUAAUAGAUGUAUUCGUUAGAAUUUUACAAUUUUAAAAAUAAUUAAGAUAUAAACGGAUAUAUUGUUACAAAAUGAAGAAUAAAUUAUAAAGUAUAAUAAUUUUAAAAAAACGUUGCUAGUUUGAAAAAAAUGAAGAAAAAAAUGGUGUUUUAUUUGUUUUGGUGUGGAUUCUAAUAAAAAAAAUAAUUUAAUGGAUAAAAAAUAUGCUCAGUUUUAGAGAUUUUUUGGCUAUUGGAUCACAACUUAUGUGAGAUCCACACCUUUGAGAAAAAGGAAGUGAUAUUCAUUUUGGAAAAAAUAAAGUUUCAGGUGAAAUCGCUGGAUUAACUCAAAUGAAUUCUAACCAUAGAUAGUGGGAGAUAGUUUGAAAGAUUAAAAAAUAUUUGUGUCUUAUAUUAUAAAUAACUGAUUAUAAUUUAAAUUUAAUUUAAAUACAUAUUAUAUUUUAUAAUAUUAAAUUAAAAUUAGUAUAAUUUGUCUAAAUUUUUAUUUUGUCAAUAUCUUUUUUUUUGAAGUUGUGAAGAUCUUGAGUAAUUAUUUGCGUAGGGAUGUGAAAUAUUUAUUUAUUUAGUGAGAAUUACUUUAUUUAGAUAAUCAUCUUUAAGAAAACUUUAAUUUAUAAUUUAUUUUAGUAAAAUGACUACAGAAAAUAAAUUAGAAAAAAGAUUUGAAGAUAAAAUAAAUUAGUAUAUAGUAUACAUUAUUUUUUUCCCUUUUUGUAGCUCUAUUUUAGGAAAGAUAAUGGAGAGAUUUGGUUGGUAGUGAAAUUUGAAAGGAGAGAAAAUAAGAUUGUCACGUGAAUUUUUUUUUUUGAGUAAAUUAGGAAUGCAGAUAAAGCAUCCCCUCCCCGAACACAAACAUACCCCCCCAAAAAAAAUUGAAAAUAAAGGAUGGGAUAUUACAAAAGAUUUGUCUAACAAACUAAAGGUUUACAAAUUGGGAGUACAAAGAAAAAAAAGGGAGAGAAGGGAAUGUACCUUGCGGUGGUUGCUGCUGUUCAAGGUGCAAGAUUAGCAGUACCAGAGAGUGAGAGAGAGGUGAUGUAUUUGGCAGAUGGAUUGAGAUGGGUCUUUGUCUGGGGGGGGCUGGGUAAGGAAAAACGGGAGACCCGCGUUAGGGUGAGGGGAUAGAUGGUGGUGAGGUGAGGGGGGGGGGGGGGGGGGUGGGGGGGGGGGGGGAGGGGGGGGGGGGGGGGUUGGGGGGGGGGGAGGGGGGGGGGGGGGGGGGGGGGGGGGGGGGGGGGGGGGGGGGGGGGGGGGGGGGGGGGGGGGGGGGGGGGGGGGGGGGGGGGGGGGGGGGGGGGGGGGGGGGGUGUGGGGGGGGGGGGGGGGGGUGGGGGGGGGGGGGGGGGGGGGGGGGGGGGGGGGGGAGGUGGGGGGGGGGGGGGGGGUGGGGGGGGGGGGGUGGGUGGUGGUUUUGGGGGGGGGUGGGGGGGGGGGGGGGGGGUGGGGGGGGGGGGGGGGGGGGGGGGGGGGGUGUUGGGGGGGGGUGGUACUAUUUAUUUUCGAUGUUUGGUGACUGUUACGUUGACGGUGCAAGUGACAAAGGGAUGUUUGCCUGAGCUAGGUUAAGAAAUCAAGGAAAUUAACUUCAAGAGAUUAAUUAAGUGAGAGUUUGGCUGCAAUUAAGGAACUUACUCUGUUCAAAUCUCAUUAAUUAAGUGAGAGUUUGACUGCAAUUAAGGAGCUUACUCUGUUCAAAUUUCAUUGCUAGCAAUUCUUAGAGUCAGUUCAUAUGCAGCUUUACCUCGGUUUUAAUUUUGUCAUCUGUUAGUGGAUGAUAGAAUUGAUCACUCAGAUUAGUUGGUCUUUUGGCCGAAUACUAACUUAUUAAAAAAAAAAAAGGAAAUUAAGGGUUGAAAUAGAAAAAAAAUGCUACCUAUAACUAAAACGGUGCCCUUUUACUUAAAAACAUUUGUAACUUAUUUUUCCU
rnacentral:lncRNA from 1 species